UCCCAGGCCCACCAUUUCAUCGAGCGUAUGCGUCUCUCAGGCUUGGCCCGUAGCGUUCGUCUUCUGGUUACGGGGCCAUAGCUCAGCUGGGAGAGCGCGUGCUUUGCAAGCAUGAGGUCGUCGGUUCGAUCCCGUCUGGCUCCACCAGAUGAAGUCGAAGAUCGACGCUGUAUGCUGCAGCCAUCGUGAUCAAUUCGUCCGCGAAACAUCAAUUCGCAUGCAUCAUUCGCAAUCGAGUGUGCCUGCGUGUUUUCUGACAUCGUAAAGAGGAGAUCGAUCCGAGUUGGGUCGCAUGGAAAUUCUAUGCGCAUCCUUCACUAUCUCCAGAUCAUUUCGGCGCUCGCGCCUCCUGCAGAUUAGCUUCUGCAAGAAGUGCGGGUUGUAAAUGAUCUCGUUAGCGAAGCCUGACCGCCUCGCUAUCGGUUCGAUCUUACGAA
rnacentral:tRNA from 1 species